CUAUCCUGCAAUUAACCUGUUAACAAAUCUUGUUUUUGUAUACUUUGCACUUUUACAUUUUGUGUAUUUAAUUAUUCACUGUUUCUAUUAGACUGUAAACUCAACACUUUGUUCCAGUUACAUGUAUGUUUAAAUGUGUUGUUCUGACUUUUAAUUUAUAAGUAGUAAUCAUUGGGAAUGGGCUUGUGGGGAACUCUUAAGUAUGACUGGUUUCAAAUGCUUUGGAGAAUUUUUAAAAGAAUGAAGAAAAAAAAUGAAUGACUUUACAUAUGUUUCAAAUGUAUUUUUAAAGUUGACUUUUAAGUGUAUGAAUUCUCUUGGGUAAAGCAGUAAUUUCUCCAUACAAGUCGAAAUCUUAGAACACCAAAAUAACGCUAUAUUGUGUCGGGUUUUUUUUUUUUUUUUACUAAACAAGAUCAGUUUGGUAGGGCCACAAGUAUUAUUUAAGCAUUUUGCUUGAUAAUGGUACUACAUUUUAUAAUGGUUGAUAUCUUUUUAGAAUGUUAUCCAUAUACAUAGUCAGUAAAUAGUAAGCAUCCUGCCAGUCUUUCAAGCAAUCCUAUUUGAGUGAAGGUGGAUACACUGCUUUCAAAGUAUCAAACAUAUUCCCAAAUGUGCAAUGUUUUAUGUAGAUUCUGGACGGGCUAUUAACAAAUAAAAUCCAUUUUAUUUAUCUUUUAGUCCCUUGUUGUGCCAGUCUCCCCAUGGCUACCUCUUCUGCCCUUGCUUAGAUCGUUAUUACUGAUGAUCUCAAUCAAUCAAAUGCUUUUCUGUAGGGGGCUGCACUGUGCCAAUCAACAUCUCCUUCUAGAGAUGCAUUACCAGGGGUCCUCAAACUCUGGCCCCCCAGAUGUUACUGAACUACAACUCCCAUGAUUCUCUGGCUAUCUAUGUAAUUCAAAGAAUCAUGGGAGUUGUAGUUCAGUAACAUCUGGGGGGCCAGAAUUUGAGGACCCCUGCAUUAGAUCAAUGCAUCUCUAGAGGGAGUGUUCGUUAUUCUCUGCUGUCAUUAAUUUUAAUUCAUUCCCAAGCAAGGAAAUCUUGUUUUUUGCUGCUAGUACACAAAAAAAGGUAUAUUUUUGUUACUCAGGCUGUGUGUGUGUGUGUGUGUGUGUGUGUGUAUAUAUUUGAGAACAAUAAUUUCCCAUGCAACAAAUAUCUUGUGUAAACUAUUUGAUAAACAAGAAAAAUUUAUUACAUUGGACUGUGGGUAUUAAUUUUUCUUAAGAUAUAAAAACAAAUUACUUUAAACUCUCUUCCAUUUCUUCCUAGAACCACUCUCUGUUUUUCAGGAUGGUGCACUGGAUUUUAUUUGUCUACUCUUAGAGGUGCAGGGUAGUGCAUGUGUACAGCAAGCACAUGUGAUGUUUAAAGUGAGCAAACUUAUACCAACUUUAUGAAACCCUGCGAUGCAGCCUGCCUCUAUAAGUCCGAUCAACUAUAAUUUGACAAAGUGAACAAAACAAAUUAGACUACUUCCAAAGAAUUGGAGGGACUCAAAAUGAAUUAAAUGUCUGUAUGAUAAUCAGAUACCAGGACUGUCGUACAUGCUACAAAUUCUCAGUCUCAGAAUGACAACUUUAAUAUUAUGAACACAAUGAGCAGACAAUCUGACAUGUUCGUAGGGCAUACAAUGAAUGGAUAGAGAGAGGCUAUAUUCAAGCUUCACUAAAGAGUACUGAGGACAAAAUAGAAACCCCUCAAUGUGUGUGUCUAGGAUAAACUUAAAGGAAAUAUUUAUAAAAUCUGAAACUCUGCCAAUGUGUGUAUAUAUAAAAACAAAGAAACCCCACAUCAUUAGAUGACCGUUAAGACACCUUUUAUCUAUAGUUUAACCCCUUAAGGACACAUGACGUGUGACAUGUCAUGAUUCCCUUUUAUUCCAGAAGUUUGGUCCUUAAGGGGUUAAAGGAGAACAGUAAUUUCUUGGAAACUUACACCAUUUAAAUCGGCAAAAAAAAAAAAAAUCACUGUUCAUAGGGUAUACCUCCAAUGCAUACGUUUUUCAUAGAGGUAUUCAUUGUGGGAAUGUAUUUAUUUUGUUUUUCAUUCUGUAUUCAUUGGGGGUAUAUCUUAAAAGAGCUUGCUAAGGCUGCAAUUCUUAUGAUCUGCAGCCUUUGCAAGCUCUUCCAUUUUCUACAUGUGUUCUCUACAUUGCUGACUGCCAUAUGUGAAGGACAUAGUUAAUAACAAUGACUGGCUGAAGGCUAAGAUGGAGACACCCAGGUGUCACACCUUAAACAUUUUUGAUAAAUAUAGGAAUACAUAAACCUCUAAUUUUAAAACCAUGGGAAGUGUCUUUUAAUUUAAGGGCUGACAACCCUGACAUGUAGGAGAUUAAGGUUCUUUAUGGUUUCAUGUCACCUCACCAUAUAGGACCAUAAAGUCCUAUAGUGUUCACACCUUGAGCAGUAUUUUUAGAGUGAAAUAAAGUGUAAUUUUCUCACUUGUUGCCAAUUGCAAAUAGAGUGCCAUAAUCGAACACUUUAGGUAUCUAGAUAGAAAUCCUACUUAUGGGAGUAGGUGUCUACUGGCUUUGAGUAAGCAGAUGAAAACACUAAAGAGGUUUACUACAAAUGCCAAACAUUUGCCAUCAAGUUCUUUGUUAUUGACUCAUAUUUCACCGUUGCGGUUUUAGCCACUGAGGAAUAGCACAGAUUAUAAAUCUUUAUUCAUCAUUUUGGGUUAGCACUUUUUACAUUUAUAGUAAGGUUACACGGUCCAGUGAUGAACAAAAUGUGUAAAGUUUUAAAGUAUCUGAUUCUGCAUGUAAAUAUGUGAGUAAUUAAAAUGUAAAAAUGUUAAGUAAGACUAGUUAUAAAUCUGUAACAUUGGAAUUUAUGUUUGGUGUAAAUGUUUGUAUGUUGUGCUAGCAAAGUUGCAAGCAAAUAUUACACUGUGAAUGGUAAUACUAUUAAAAUAAAUCAAUAAGCCAUGUUGAUCUACCUGUGCUGCUUUUGAUAGCAAGAUUUUCUUAAAUAAUGUGCAUGAUGAAUCGUGGGUAUGUGUUCUACAGUUAUUUACAAAGGCCUCAUACAGACUGUUCUUACAUUGUUAUGCUGUAAAACAUGUUUAAGGCACAAAAUAAUUCUUUACCCAAAUACUGCCAUUAGAUGCCUUUUUGUUUGUUUUUUGCUAUGCUUCUGUUAACAAAUUUAAAAAAAAAUAAAAAAAUUUUGAAAAUCA